rnacentral:lncRNA from 1 species
ACGUCCGCAUCAAUGGCACCACCUCUGCCCACUGCUCCUGCUCCACCCGACCAAAAGCAAGAGCAAAAGUUGGUCGGGCUUUAAGAACUUGCAAUAACUUUGAAGCAAAAGAAAUCACGUUUGUCUCCCGCGCUUUUUCCUUUCGGGUGCCGCACUCACCUCUGCGGACACGUGCCGAGCUCUCGCUGCAGGAACCCGUCAGGCCUCGGUGGCUGUGAGUUCACGCUCCUCUCCCCGGGGAAUUGAAAGAGUUGCUGAGGAAUCGCAGAAAUGUUUUCUGGAGCCUUUCCCCUUCGGUGCCCCUGUGCUGUGUGGGACGAGGGCAGAGGAGCCUCGGGCUGGAAAGGGGCAGGAGAAAGGCAAAGGGACCCCCCGGUGUCCCCAGGGCACCGUGGGGAACACAACGGACACCGCGCGGGCACGGGGAGGUGAGGAGUGACAGUCUGGGCCAAAAUCCCAGCUCACCCCAGGGAAAUAAGUGAGGGACAUUUUGGAGGGGAAAGCUGAGGUCACGAGUUCACCCAGCCCGGCCACGUUGUGUUUGCGCAAAGCGGCACCAGAGGUGAAGGUCAAUCCUGAGCCAACCCUGCUCAACCUCUAAGUCCCAGAAUAAAUUCUACAAGCUGCCUGUUGAGGGAUUAAAAACACAUAAAAACAGAACCAAGAGCAAUCCAAGAGCAAACCAGAAGGUUCCUUGGAAUCCCAUUGCAGUGUUGUCACAGUCUUUUUAACAGAGCUGUAAGUUUUUCAUUACAGCGCUGCAUUUCUCUGCUGGGAUCAUUCACUCCGUGGGCUGUGGGGAUUUUUCGGGUUUGAACUCCCUCACGGUGGCCCUGACACUGCUCAGGAGCUGGAGGAAGAGCAGAGCCAGCGCUCCUGGCAGGGGCAGGGAGUUUUCCCCAGAGCAGAUCCAGCAGCUGCCCUCCAGCCCGGCCAGGAGGGAUCUGCUUUGGCUCCUGGCUGCUGCAGGGACAGAACAUGUUCAGCUGAUCCAGGUGACAUUCCAGCAGCCUCAUCUCCCGUCCAGCCUGGCCAGGAGGGAUCUGCUUUGGCUCCUGGCUGCUCCAGGUGACAUUCCAGCAGCCUCAUCUCCCAUCCAGCCCGACCAGGAGGGAUCUGCUUUGGCUCCUGGCUGCUCCAGGUGACAUUCCAGCAGCAUCAUCUCCCAUCCAGCCCAGCCAGGA